rnacentral:pre_miRNA from 1 species
AUCCUACUUCCUCCGUUCCGAAUUACUUGUCGCAGGUAUGGAUGUAUCUAGAUGUAUUUUAGUUCUAAAUACAUCCAUUUCUGCGACGAGUAAUUUGGAACGGAGGGAGUACAUC